rnacentral:rRNA from 1 species
CUAGCUAACCCGACACGUAUUAGAAGCACUGCCUGCCCAGUGACAUUGAUUUAACGGCCACGGUAUUUUGACCGUGCAAAGGUAGCAUAAUCACUUGUUUUUUAAAUAAAGACUUGUAUGAAUGGCAAAACGAAAGCUUAACUGUCUCCACUGUCCAGCCAGUGAAACUGAUCUUCCUGUUCAAAAGCAGGAAUAAAAAUGUAAGACGAAAAGACCCUAUGGAACUUUAGACACAAAUCAGCUAUGCCAACAGACCGCAUAUGCCAUGAUCCACAUCUUUAGUUGGGGCGACUGCGGAGAACAAAAAUCCUCCGUGAUAUCUACUAAAUUACACAAAACUAAGUACCAAGACACUUGAAACAGCUGAUCCAAUAAAAUUGAUCAACGAACUAAGCUACCCUAGGGAUAACAGCGCAAUCUUCUUACAGAGGCCAUAUCGACAAGAAGGUUUACGACCUCGAUGUUGGAUCAGGAUAUCCAGACAGUGUAGCCGCUGUCACAGGUUUGUUUGUUCAACAAUUAAAAUCCU